AGAUUGAACGCUGGCGGCAUGCCUUACACAUGCAAGUCGAACGGUAGAGUAGCAAUACUUGAGAGUGGCGAACGGGUGAGUAAUAUAUCGGAACGUGCCCAGUCGUGGGGGAUAACGUAGAGAAAUUUACGCUAAUACCGCAUACGAUCUAAGGAUGAAAGCGGGGGACCGUAAGGCCUCGCGCGAUUGGAGCGGCUGAUAUCAGAUUAGGUUGUUGGUGAGGUAAAAGCUCACCAAGCCGACGAUCUGUAGCUGGUUUGAGAGAACGACCAGCCACACUGGGACUGAGACACGGCCCAGACCUCCGUACGGGAGGCAGCGAGGUGGGGGUAAUUUUGGGACAAGUGGGACG
rnacentral:rRNA from 1 species